AUUGAACGCUGGCGGCAGGCCUAACACAUGCAAGUCGAGCGGAUGAGAGGAGCUUGCUUCUCGAUUCAGCGGCGGACGGGUGAGUAAUGCCUAGGAAUCUGCCUGGUAGUGGGGGACAACGUUUCGAAAGGAACGCUAAUACCGCAUACGUCCUACGGGAGAAAGCAGGGGACCUUCGGGCCUUGCGCUAUCAGAUGAGCCUAGGUCGGAUUAGCUAGUUGGUGAGGUAAUGGCUCACCAAGGCGACGAUCCGUAACUGGUCUGAGUGGAUGAUCAGUCACACUGGAACUGAGACACGGUCAAGACUCCUACGGGAGGCAGCAGUGGGGAAUAUUGGACAAUGGGCGAAAGCCUGAUCCAGCCAUGCCGCGUGUGUGAAGAAGGUCUUCGGAUUGUAAAGCACUUUAAGUUGGGAGGAAGGGUUGUAGAUUAAUACUCUGCAAUUUUGACGUUACCGACAGAAUAAGCACCGGCUAACUCUGUGCCAGCCGCCGCCGUAAAAC
rnacentral:rRNA from 1 species